ensembl:lncRNA
GUAUUCUCUUCCUUAGAACAGCACUUUCAUUCUUCUAGCACCUCUGCCUGCAUGAUUCAAACUUAUCUAAACUGUCAGCUCCUGGCAUAGAAAAUCCAUGUUCCCGUGGCUUGAUCCCUCUGUCUCAGCCAAGGGGGAUGUGAGAGUUUAGACAUAAUCUUCCAUGCAAUUGUUGAAGAAGCCCAGACCUCAUUGGAGCUGGCACACAGAUGCAGGAGACUGCUAUGAAGUUGCUCACAGUGACCUUGGCAUCAGCAGGAAAAUGUCACGUCACGCUGUUCUGUGUGCAUCCAACCAGCUCAGGGAAGGCCAGCUUUGGUACACGCAAACUGAAGGGAUCAAACCAGCUGAAACUUACCACAGACUGUACGCUGAUAUUUCACUGAAUGUUACCUUUAUAAUCUGCCUGUAUUUAGGAAAAUAAAAACAAGAACCAACCACACAGGUCUAUAGAUACUAGAGGCCACAGCAAUGGCUCUUACUAUGAACCCAAGCUAGCCAAUGUAGUCCCUCAGUGAGCUAACACCCUGAAGUAGCCCAGACUACAAAAUAUCACUUGCAAGGAUGCAACUCAGCUUUGGACCAUGCCUGAGCACAGACAUCAUCAUUAACUACUUCAUUCCCCUGUAAAGAAGGGGACUGUGUGUGUCUCAGAUCUGUGCCAUCCACCAAGAGUGAUGUCCCCUUAGGUAUGCCUAGAGAGUCAUGCUUGGGAGAGACCAUUGUUCACUUGGGGUUUUUUGAUCCACUUAGGUUGGAAAUAAGUCUUAAGUGUCACAGCAUAGGCAAUGCUGACUGGUGGUCAGCCCAGCUCAGGCACAUUGGGACUCCUAGAAAGAGCAGUCCCCCAGAGUGCUCAGCAGCAGAGGUCACUUCGUGUAGUGCCAUAGCCUGAGAGGCAGAAGCCAAGCAUCUCACAAUGAAGGCCUGCACAACCUGCCCAAGACUCCAGGCUGCUGCCCUGCUACAGUUCACUGCUAACAUCCCACAAUGCUGCACUAAAACCAAAACCCACAGGCUGAUUUCCUGCUAAGGACAAUGAGAGAAUUCACCACAGCUCAAAGACAUUUUUCCUGAGUGUACUACUGGCUACUUAAAAUAAUAACUAAAGAAAAUAUAUAGUAAAAACCAUUGACAUCUUGUAUCUUUUUUAUGAAGUUUUUUCAUGAACUACUUCCUUGUUUCGGAGAGAACAUCUGUUGGUCUUUGAGGCUGUCACACAGCUCCUGAACAGUGUCCCCUGCAACUGCUAGUAUUUGGGAAGGCACAUGCCUUUGUCCUCAUGCUUGAUCCUCCUUCCAACUCGUGGUCUCCUGUAGGCAUUCUGUAGCCUGUUCCAAAUGAGGAACAAUUCUUCUGAUCCAAGCACAGAGGCACAACCUCCCUGUACAACUAUUCUAUCCGUCAAUGGUCUGCAAUUCCCUUUGACGUCUCAACAUUUAUUAUAUCAGGUGGCUACAGCUGUACAUGACUUUCUUUAUUUCAAACUUUAUUGUAGGAGUGUUAAAACUGUUUGUGUAACCUCUUUAUUAAAUUUCUGACAAUUUAUCUGC